GCUUAGUUGCAGCUUCGACGUCAAUCAGUUCGAAUCGACGACGACACCCAACUGAUUCGAAGUUUUGCCAAUACGCGUAUUUUCUCGUCGCGAAUAUCGAAAAUACAUAA